CAGGCAAAUGAGGUUGAGAGAGCUGGCCAUCUCGUUCAGCUUCUGCGUUGUGUCGAUUUCCACUCGUUGACAUCAGCAGACAUAUCCAACAUGCUCUUCUACAGCAUCGUUGCAGUAUAUACAUCAUAGGUGGUGAGUAUCACCUGGGUCAUGGCAACUGGAACAAGAGUUUAUGGAGAUACAGUACAGCAUCUAGGAAAUGGAUCAGUGAAAACAUGUUGCCGCAACCUCGACGACAUUUUAUGGUGUGUGUCAUAGACUCUGUCAUCUACAUACUUGGUGGAUUUGGACGACAUCGUGUUGUACAGUGUUCUGUAGAUGCAUAUGAUACUAAAGCAGGUAAA